rnacentral:lncRNA from 1 species
GUUGGGUAGAGCAGAGUGACCUGUAGGAAGAAUAAUGGAUGUCAGGAGGAUUACUCUGGAUGCUAUGCUGAGAAGAAACUGAAGACAAUGGUGGAAGUGGGAAAGCUUAUGACUCAGAAUAACUAUUUCUAAUAACAAAUUUUAAGUUCUCUUCAUGCAGAGCAGCUGACACAAAUCUUCAACUCAUUGAUGAUGGCAUCUGACUGUUCCAGGUAUUAAGAAGAGAGAAAGAAUCUGAGAAAUUAUGGCGUACUCAACUGUGGACAGCUGAAAGUCUGGCAUAGCGUGCCCUCAUCAUCACAAAUGGGCUCGCAUUACAAGCUACACUUAUUUGACAACUAUCAGCAUUUGUCAACCGGCACUCAGAUUUGAAGACUCAUUUCACAGCUGGAGCAAGAGAAGACAGGAAGGAAAAAUCAGAGUAAGGUUUCAAUGAGUUUCUGCAAAUUCUCAGAAGUUUUGCUGCCACUCAGUGUCACAAUAACAAAAAGAAAUAAAAAUAGCUGAUAUUUACUAAACA